rnacentral:rRNA from 1 species
CGGAUAGGAGACGAUUUCUGGAAUGAUUCAUCUCUGAAAGCUAGCGUUAGGAUGGGGCUGCGGCUGAUUAGGUAGUUGGCGGGGUAAAGGCCCACCAAGCCGAUGAUCAGUAAGGGCUCUUAGCGGAGAGGCCCUGAGAGGGAAUCUGAGACACUAUUCCCAGCCCUACGGGGUGCAGCAGUCGGGAAACUUUUGCAAUGCGCGCAAGCGUGACAGAGCAAGCCAGAGUGCUUUCCUAAUAAUUGGAAAGCUUUUGUGAGAUGUAAAAAGUCUCACGAAUAAGGACCGGGCAAGACUGGUGCCAGCCGCCGCGGUAAUACCAGCGGUCCAAGUCGCAAUCACAUUUAUUGGGUCUAAAACAUCCGUAGCUUGCCAGGUCAGUCUCUUGUGAAAUCCUGCCUCUUAAGGGUAGAAGGGCAAGAGAUACUGCCUGGCUAGAAACCGGGAGACGUAAGAAGUACGGUCAGGGUAGCGGUAAAAUGCGUUGAUCCUUUCUGGACUAACAACAGCGAAGGCAUCUUACGAGAACGGAUUUGACAGUGAGGGAUGAAGGCUAGGGGCGCAAAACGGAUUAGAUACCCGUGUAGUCCUAGCAGUAAACACUGCACACUAAACAUUGGGGCCUCUUCGAGAGGUUUCAGUGCUGUAGGGAAGCCGUAGAGUGUGCUACCUGGGGAGUAUAGUCGCAAGGCCGAAACUUAAAGGAAUUGGCGGGGGAGCAC